AAUAAACGAAUUUUUGAGUAUUUGAUAGAAUUUUUAACUAUUCGUCUUAUUUGAUUUUUUUAUGAUUAAUAUUUUUUUAUUAUUAUAUGAUAAAACAUGAAUAGUACUUUACGCGUGACUAAUUUUUUUUAAUUUUUUAAUAAAUUUUUUAAAUAAGACGAAUAGUCAAACGUUCGACCUAGAAAACUCAGA
rnacentral:pre_miRNA from 1 species